rnacentral:rRNA from 1 species
GACGAACGCUGGCGGCGUGCUUAACACAUGCAAGUCGAACGGAAAGGCCCUGCUUUUGUGGGGUGCUCGAGUGGCGAACGGGUGAGUAACACGUGAGUAACCUGCCCUUGACUUUGGGAUAACUUCAGGAAACUGGGGCUAAUACCGGAUAGGAGCUCCUGCUGCAUGGUGGGGGUUGGAAAGUUUCGGCGGUUGGGGCUGGACUCGCGGCUUAUCAGCUUGUUGGUGGGGUAGUGGCUUACCAAGGCUUUGACGGGUAGCCGGCCUGAGAGGGUGACCGGCCACAUUGGGACUGAGAUACGGACCAGACUCCUACGGGAGGCAGCAGUGGGGAAUAUUGCACAGUGGGCGGAAGCCUGAUGCAGCAACGCCGCGUGCGGGAUGACGGCCUUCGGGUUGUAAACCGCUUUCGCCUGUGACGAAGCGUGAGUGACGGUAAUGGGUAAAGAAGCACCGGCUAACUACGUG